CAGUCGCCGCGGUAAUACGGAGGGUGCAAGCGUUAAUCGGAAUUACUGGGCGUAAAGCGCACGCAGGCGGUCUGUCAAGUCGGAUGUGAAAUCCCCGGGCUCAACCUGGGAACUGCAUUCGAAACUGGCAGGCUAGAGUCUUGUAGAGGGGGGUAGAAUUCCAGGUGUAGCGGUGAAAUGCGUAGAGAUCUGGAGGAAUACCGGUGGCGAAGGCGGCCCCCUGGACAAAGACUGACGCUCAGGUGCGAAAGCGUGGGGAGCAAACAGGAUUAGAGACCCCGGUAGUCCCUGUCUCUUAUAA
rnacentral:rRNA from 1 species